CCUACGGGAGGCAGCAGUGAGGAAUAUUGGUCAAUGGCCGGAAGGCUGAACCAGCCAAGCCGCGUGAAGGACGAAGGUGCCAAGCAUUGUAAACUUCUUUUGUCAAGGGACAAAAUCAGGCUCGAGAGCCUGACCGAGGGUACUUGAAGAAAAAGCAUCGGCUAACUCCGUGCCAGCAGCCGCGGUAAUACGGAGGAUGCGAGCGUUAUCCGGAUUUAUUGGGGUUAAAGGGUGCGUAGGCGGACUGUUAAGUCAGCGGGAAAAGCCCGGGGCUCAACCCCGGCGAGCCGUUGAAACUGGGUGUCUUGAGAUGUCGAGAGGUAUGCGGAAUGCGCAGUGUAGCGGUGAAAUGCUUAGAUAUUGCGCAGAACUCCGAUUGCGAAGGCAGCAUACCGGCGGCGAACUGACGCUGAGGCACGAAAGCGUGGGUAUCGAACAGGAUUAGAUACCCCGGUAGUC
rnacentral:rRNA from 1 species